GACGAACGCUGGCGGCGUGCUUAACACAUGCAAGUCGAACGGGAUCCGGGCUUUCGGGUUUGGUGAGAGUGGCGAACGGGUGAGUAACACGUGAGUAACCUGCCCCCUUCUUUGGGAUAACGUCGGGAAAUCGGCGCUAAUACUGGAUAUUCUUGCUGCAUCGCAUGGUGUGGUUUGGAAAGGGUUUCUGGUGGGGGAUGGGCUCGCGGCCUAUCAGCUUGUUGGUGGGGUGAUGGCCUACCAAGGCUUUGACGGGUAGCCGGCCUGAGAGGGUGUCCGGCCACACUGGGACUGAGACACGGCCCAGACUCCUACGGGAGGCAGCAGUGGGGAAUAUUGCACAAUGGGCGCAAGCCUGAUGCAGCGACGCCGCGUGAGGGAUGACGGCCUUCGGGUGGUAAACCUCUUUCAGUAUGGAACAAGGAUCCUUCUUUUGGGGGGUUUGAGGGUACGUGCAGAAGAAGCGCCGGCUAACUACGUG
rnacentral:rRNA from 1 species